GCCAGCUCUUGAACUUGGAGCAAUUUUUCUUUAUGUGCCUUCUUGGAGCAAUUUUUCUUUAUGUGCCUUUCGUUUUGCAAAAGAAGCACUUUAACUCCUUCUUGAUGUCCGACUGGGGAGGAAUCUUGCCCUUUCCCUUUUGUUUGGCUUGAUCCCUUUUCUUUCCAGGAACUGUCAAGUUCACCUUCUCACCCUAUUCCAUUGCCAACCUUCCCUCCUCUUGAACACACAUGGUCAAUAGUUUAUUAAUUGACCAUUUGUCCUUAUGUGUGUUAUAAGAGAUCUUAAAGAGACCAUAUUGUUGGGGCAGAGUGCACAGAAUGAAAUGAACCAGGAAGUAUCUGACAUCUCAACUUCCAACGUUUUCAGUUGAGCCGCUAUAUCCCUCAUGCGCAUGAUAUGAUCACGCACGCCUCUAAUCCCGGUGAGCUUCAUGGAUGAGAACUGCAUAAUUAGGGUGCUUCCUAAUGCCUUGUCUGAAGUCACAAAUUGAUCAUCAAUUGCCUUCAGCAAUUCUUGAACAUUGUCGUAUUGCUCGACAGAACCCCUAAUCCCAGCAGAUAUUUUGGUCUUUAUGAACAUGACUGAAAGGCGAUUAGAUCGCUCCCAUUUUUCAUAAAGAUCAACUUGGUCUGGAAUGCUGGUUUCAGUAAUUUUAGGUGGUUCAUCUUUCCUAAUAGCAUAGUCAAUGUCCAUCCACCCUAAGUGAAGGAGAAUCCUUUCCUUCCAAACCUUAUAGUUGUCACCCUUAAGUUCAGGAACAUCGCAUUUCAUAUAAGAGAAAUUAAUUGGUUGAACAACUGCAACAUUUCAAACAUACAUGCUCAUUAUUACAAAAUUUGAAUCUAAAAUAACAUAUGACAUGUUUUACCAAUGUAAAAACAUGCAAAACAUGAAUCUAGC
rnacentral:lncRNA from 1 species